GACGAACGCUGGCGGCGUGCUUAACACAUGCAAGUGGAGCGACGAACCAGGGCUUGCCCUGGGGCAGAGCCGCGAACGGGUGAGUAACACGUGGGUAACGUGCCCCGAUGACUGGGACAACCCGAGGAAACUCGGGCUAAUACCGGAUAUGCCCCCUCACGAGAGUGAGGUGUGUAAAGGAAGCUUCGGCCUCCGCAUCGGGAUCGGCCCGCGGCGCAUUAGCUUGUUGGUGGGGUAACGGCCACCAAGGCGACGAUGCGUAGCUGGUCUGAGAGGACGAUCAGCCACACUGGGACUGAGACACGGCCCAGACUCCUACGGGAGGCAGCAGUGGGGAAUCUUGCGCAAUGCGCGAAAGCGUGACGCAGCAACGCCGCGUGGGGGAAGACGGCCUCGGUG
rnacentral:rRNA from 1 species